UGGGGAAUAUUGCGCAAUGGGCGAAAGCCUGACGCAGCGACGCCGCGUGGGGGAUGAAGGCCUUCGGGUUGUAAACCCCUUUCAGCAGGGACGAAGCGAAAGUGACGGUACCUGCAGAAGAAGCGCCGGCUAACUACGUGCCAGCAGCCGCGGUAACACGUAGGGCGCAAGCGUUGUCCGGAAUUAUUGGGCGUAAAGAGCUCGUAGGUGGUUUGUUACGUCUGCUGUGAAAACCUAGGGCUUAACCCUGGGCUUGCAGUGGAUACGGGCAGACUAGAGGUAGGUAGGGGAGAAUGGAAUUCCUGGUGUAGCGGUGAAAUGCGCAGAUAUCAGGAGGAACACCGGUGGCGAAGGCGGUUCUCUGGGCCUUACCUGACACUGAGGAGCGAAAGCGUGGGGAGCGAACAG
rnacentral:rRNA from 1 species